rnacentral:rRNA from 1 species
CCCUUAGAUGUUCUGGGCCGCACGCGCGCUACACUGACGAAUGCAACGAGCUUAUAACCUUGGCCGAAAGGUCUGGGUAAUCUCCAAAUUUCGUCGUGAUGGGGCUAGAUUAUUGCAACUAUUAAUCUUCAACGAGGAAUGCCUAGUAAGCGCGAAUCAUCAGUUCGCGUUGAUUACGUCCCUGCCCUUUGUACACACCGCCCGUCGCUCCUACCGAUUGAAUGGUCCGGUGAAAAUUUCGGAUACCGGCGUUGCUGGCGGUUCGCCGCCGGCGACGCUGGUAGAAGAUCUUUAAACCUUAUCAUUUAGAGGAAGGAGAAGUCGUAACA